rnacentral:lncRNA from 1 species
CCCUAGGCAUUUGCCAAGUUCCCCAGGUGAGCCCAGUUGGUCUCUUGGAAGCCAGAGAAAGGCAUUUGUUACAGAGUGUUUAGUGAUUACAAGUAAAACAGAAAGAUUUCGAUGUGGAUCGCAGCUUCCGCUCCUACGUGUGUUUACUCAGGAGUUGUUAUGCUUUAUCACUUUUAUCGCUGUUAUCACAGCUGGGUGAAAAAUGACGGCCGGAGCUAUGUUCACGUAAUAACGAAAAUAGAUUUUCUUUCGUCUACGCAGCAGAUUGCUAACGGGCGCGCUGCCUUUACGAUCGCCACAGCCUAGUUUCUCCACUCCAGGUGAGGUGGUGUCGUCUAUAUGAUUAAAAAAGAAAAUCCCUCGUUAUUUAGGUGUUUCGGGAUUCCCUUGGUUGAGUAAAGGUGAAAUUCAGAAGGGCUCACGCUAAACCAAGACUGGUGGAAUAAAUCCACUGGCCAGCCGGAUGUGGAUGCUAACAGCAAAUCCCACGUGCCGGAAAUCCAAGGGAAGUGCCAAUGAGAUUAGUCCGAGGGCUUUGAUAAGAAGGGAUCUUUAAAUCCUGGCCAAUGGGCGGGCUUCCAGCGGGGAGAUGUAAGGAUACCAAAGCAGGUUGGCUAAUCUGCUAGAAAAUUCACUGCAGUCCAUAUAACAGUCUGAAAGCUCACGUGGCCAUCGAUUUAGACAAAACAUGGAUGCACAUUCCCAUCAGAUGGGAUUUGAGCAGAAUGCAUUUUUACAACAAAAACCAAAGCAGCCCAAUUUUCGUGUUUGCACACAGAUGGGUUACUCUGUGUUUCCUUGGACAAUUUGGAGUGUGUCUUCUCCCAACACAGCCCAGAUGCUUGUUUGUAAUGCUGAGCUUCCGGCCUCGGGGCUAAGGCUUGGGAGCACCUUGGAAAAGCAGACCCUUGCUUUUGGUCAAGAAGGCAGCAAGGCAUCAAAGUCUAGUGGCAGGACAAAAGCUGAAACAAUUUGUGAAUGCUGGAGACACUGGAGAUGGUGGCCAAGUUCUAAGCAUUCCUUGGUGUUUGCUUCAGUCGCAUCCAUGGCUAUUGGAACAAAUUGUUCUCACCAGCUCAUUCUUGGGAAAGGAGGAAUAAGAUACAAAAAAGAUUAGAAAGGUUCUUCAACUGUCAAAUGAUCUGGAUAAGGAAAUGGUAAACUACUCCAGCAUCUCUGCCACCCCCCAAACCCCCCAAAAAACAUACCCAAAUGGAGUUAUGAAGAGAUUGAAAACAGUGAGAUCAAAGUAAGUAGACAUUUGAAUAAAUAAUAUUAGUAUUUGUAUAGUAAUCUUUUU